rnacentral:misc_RNA from 1 species
AACGCACAUUGCGCCCCUUGGUAUUCCAUUGGGCAUGCCUGUUCGAGCGUCAUUUACACCCUCAAGCCCUGCUUGGUGUUGGGCGUCUGUCCCCGCUUCGCGCGAGGACUCGCCCCAAAUUCAUUGGCAGCGACAUCGUCGGCUUCUCGCGCAGCACAUCGCGCAUGGGAAGGUCCCCGACGGGCUCGCGAUCAUCAAGAAAUCACACAGUUUGACCUCGAAUCAGGUAGGGAUACCCGCUGAACUUAA